CAAUAGCGUAUAUUAAAGUUGUUGCGGUUAAAAGCUCGUAGUUGGAUUUCUGCCUGAGGCAGCCGGUCCGCACUUAGUGCGUGUAUCUGGUUUGGUUUGGGCAUCCUCUUGGGGAUCGUUGCUGUGCUUAGUUGCAUGGUGACGGAAUUCAAGUACGUUUUACUUUGAAGGAAAUUAGAGUUGGUUACGGCAAGCUAUCGUCUUUAGAAUACUAUUAGCAGUAGGAAUAAUAAUAGUAGGGCGUAAGUUCUAUCUUGUUGGUUUCUAGAACAUACGCAAUGAUUAAUAGGGACAAGUUGGGGGCAUUCGUAUUAACGCGUCAGAGGUGGAAUUCUUAGAUUGCGUUACGACGAACUACUG
rnacentral:rRNA from 1 species